rnacentral:rRNA from 1 species
CACGUAGGGCGCAAGCGUUGUCCGGAAUUAUUGGGCGUAAAGAGCUCGUAGGCGGUCUGUCACGUCCGCUGUGAAAAGCUAGGGCUUAACCCUGGCCUUGCAGUGGAUACGGGCAGACUAGAGGUAGGUAGGGGAGAAUGGAAUUCCCGGUGUAGCGGUGAAAUGCGCAGAUAUCGGGAGGAACACCGGUGGCGAAGGCGGUUCUCUGGGCCUUACCUGACGCUGAGGAGCGAAAGCGUGGGGAGCGAACAGG